rnacentral:rRNA from 1 species
UAUCUCUGUAGAGUCUGCAUAUCAAUAAGCGGAGGAAAAGAAACUAACUAGGAUUCCCUUAGUAACGGCGAGUGAAGCGGGAAGAGCUCAAAUUUGAAAUCUUCAAGGUUUUACCUUGACGAAUUGUAGUUUAAAGAAGUGUUUUCUGUUGGAGUUUUGGUAAAAGUUCUUUGGAAUAGGACAUCAUAGAGGGUGAGAAUCCCGUAUUUGACCAUUAUUUCCAACUUUGUGAUACACUUUCAAAGAGUCGGAUUGUUUGGGAAUGCAGUCCAAAAUGGGUGGUAAAUUUCAUCUAAAGCUAAAUACUGGCGAGAGACCGAUAGCGAACAAGUACCGUGAGGGAAAGAUGAAAAGAACUUUGAAAAGAGAGUUAAACAGUACGUGAAAUUGUCAAUAGGGAAGCGUUUGACACCAGUGUUGUUUUCUCGAAAAUCAAUUAAAAAUGGCAGGAUUUUGUGUUGUAUUGACUUUAUCAGCUUUCUGCACUUUUUUCUUGUCUUUUUUAAUGCACUUUUCGUUUAACAAGUCCAACAUCAAUUUCUUUUGUUGUAAAAGGGUCAUUGGAAGGUGGCUUUCUUUUCGGAGAAAGUGUUUAUAGCCUUUGGCCUCUGCAAUCGGAGAGAUUGAGGUCUGCAGCGUAGAUCCUUCGGGGUUAGAUAGCAUUUGUGCUAAGUUAUAGCCCUUCAUAGACAACUUGUUGACUAUGAUCAGUCAUGUAGCUUACUCGCUUAUGUCUAUUUUACCUACGCUUAGGAUGUUGAUGUGAUACUGCGAGC